GUCUUAGGCCUGUGCCUGUUUCAAGUAAUCCAGGAUAGGCUUGUUCAAGCUUGGAAGGCCUAUUCUGGAUGACUUGGUUCAGGAGCAAGGCCAAUAGC
rnacentral:miRNA from 1 species